rnacentral:lncRNA from 10 species
AGCUGUGACAUUGCGCCGAGGCUCUGAAGUGGGUAAUUGCAGACCACAGCUAGGCUGGAAUGCUGUGUUUGGGGUGGUCAUUAGAGUCGUGGUCUCUUUAGCGUUAUGAAGCCUACCUUGACUCCUAGGUGUUCAUUGUGAAUCUUGUUGGUGCUGGUAUCGCUGUACCUCUCAAAUAGCUUCCCCAUUUUGACUAAGAAUGAAGAACUUCUUGGACAAAGAACUUGUAAAAAUCAGAUUCAUGGUCUUUCUUUUGCCCUCAAGUGAGAGGUGAAGCCAGCUGGACUUCCUGGGUCAAGUGUGGACUUGGAGAACUCUUCUGUCUAGCUAGAGGAUUGUAAAUGCACCGAUCAGUGCUGUGUAUCUAGCUAAAGGAUUGUAAAUGCACCAAUCAGCACUCUGUAAAAACGUACCAAUCAGCUCUCUGUGUCUAGCUAAAGGAUUGUAAACACACCAAUCAGCACUAUGUAAAAUGGACCAAUCAGUGCUCUGUAAAACGGGCCAAUCAGCAGGAUGUGGGCAGGGCCAAAUAAGGGACUAAAAGCUGACCACCGGAGCCAGCAGCAGCAACCUGCUCGGGUCCCCUUCCAUGCUGUGGAAGCUUUGUUCUUUCACUCUUCACAAUAAAUCUUGCUGCUGCUCACUCUUUAGGUCCACACUACCUUUAUGCGCUGUAACACUCACUGCAAGGGUCUGCAGCUUCAUUCCUGAAGUCAGCGAGACCACGAACCCACUGGGAGGAACAAACAACUCUGGACGCGCCACCUUUAAGAGCUGUAACACACACUGUGAAGGUCUGCGGCUUCACUCCUGAAGUCAGCGAGACCACGAACCCGCUGGAAGGAAUAAACUCCGGAGACAUUGGAAGGAAGAAACUCCAGACACACCAUCUUUAAGAGCUGUAACACCACGAAGGUCUGCGGCUUUAUUCUCGAAGUCAGCAUGACCAAGAAUCCACUGGAAGGAACCAAUUCCGGACACACAAGGAGGAUAUAAUUUGGUAGAAAAUAUAGAUCUAGGCUCCAUGAAUCAAUUAGGAGGAUGAGGCUAGCCAUCAUAUCAUUCAAGUGAAUGGUGAUAGGUCACAUAGUGAAAAAAUAAGAACAACUCACGUCUGUAAUCCCAGCACUUUGGGAGGCCAAGGCAGGUGGAUCAUCUGAGGUCAGGAGUUUGAGACCAGCCUGGCCAACAUGGUGAAACCCUGUCUCUACUAAAAAUACAAAAAAAAAAUUAGCUGGGCUUGGUGGUGGGUGCCUGUAAGCCCAGCUACUCAGGAGGCUGAGGCAGGAGAAUUGCCUGAACCCGGGAGGUGGAGGUUACAGUGAGCCGAGAUCACGCCACUGUACUCUAGCCUGGGCAACAAGUGCAAAACUCCAUUUCAAAAAAAGAAAAAAAGAAAAAAUAAGGACA